rnacentral:misc_RNA from 1 species
CACUAAUCAAGCCUGGCUUGGUAUUGGGCGACGCGGUCCGCCGCGUGCCUCAAAUCGACCGGCUGGGUCUUCUGUCCCCUAAGCGUUGUGGAAACUAUUCGCUAAAGGGUGUUCGGGAGGCUACGCCGUAAAACAACCCCAUUUCUAA